GUUGAACGCUGGCGGCGUGCCUAACACAUGCAAGUCGAGCGAAGCGGGGACGGGUGAGUAACAUGUGGAUAACCUCCUAUAAGACUGGGAUAACCUCGUGAAAACGGUGCUAAACCGGCUACUUAUAGAUGAUUCCGCACUGCAUUAGCUAGUUGGUCAGGUAACGGCUUACCAAGGCAACGAUGCAUAGCCGACCUGAGAGGGUGAUCGGCCACACUGGAACUGAGACACGGUCCAGACUCCUACGGGAGGCAGCAGUGGGGAAUCUUGCGCAAUGGGCGAAAGCCUGACGGAGCAACGCCGCGUGAGUGAUGAAGGUCUUCGGAUCGUAAAACACUGUUAGUAGGGAGGCGGUACCUAAUCAGAAAGCCACGGCUAACUACGUGCCAGCAGCCGCGGUAAUAC
rnacentral:rRNA from 1 species